GUGGUGUAAAUAAAAUAUAUAUAUACAUAUUUUUAUGUAGAUUGUUUGUGUUUGUGAAUGCUUGACACAAUUAAACAACUUUUUAUCUUAUCUGAAUAUAAAAAAAGAAAUCUAUCCCGCAUAUUGAAGCUAACUGGACCUUUAGAGUGAUCUGAAGAAUUAGAAGUGAUUGGUGAUCGUGCUUACGUGUAAGCUGACAGAAACAGUUAUAAUUGUCGAUAUGGCAGCCAAGGUUCAUGAGUUUACUGUAGAAAUGACUUGCGAAGGCUGCUCCAAUGCUGUUGAAAGAGUGUUGAAAAAAAAAGAAGGUAAUU